GGACUACAGGGGUUUCUAAUCCUGUUUGCUCCCCUAGCUUUCGUUCCUCAGCGUCAGUAGUGGUCCAGCGCGCCGCUUUCGCCACGGGUGUUCCUGCAGAUAUCUACGCAUUUCACCGCUACACCUGCAAUUCCACGCGCCUCUCCCACACUCAAGCACAGCAGUUUCGGAAGCAGACUCUGGGUUGAGCCCAGAGAUUUCACUCCCGACUUGCCACACCGCCUACGAACCCUUUACACCCAGUAAUUCCGAGCAACGCUGGCCCCCUACGUCUUACCGCGGCGGCUGGCAC
rnacentral:rRNA from 1 species